rnacentral:tRNA from 1 species
GCGGGUGUAACUCAGUUGGUUAGAGUACCAGAUUGUGGCUUUGGAAGACGGGGGUUCAAAUCCCCUUAUUCGCC